AGCUGCCAUAGCAGCCAUUGCAGGAGCACUCACUUCACAGUCCUAUCAGAUUCUAAUGAAUCUGCAAAUUCUGCU
rnacentral:ribozyme from 1 species